UCAUUAAGUUCACUCCAGAAACACUCCCUUGCGGGAGCCAGGAUGGAAUUAGGAGGUUGUUCUAGAACAUGAAUGACAAAGAACUAAGGCACAGGCUGUGGAAACAGGCAGAAGAAACGGACUUGUGAGCUCAAAUCCGUGUCACAUUAGGCAUGGCGGACAAAGGAGACAGAAGCCCUGGGUUCCUGACCUGGCAGCCCAUUCACCAAGAAGGUUAGGGGGACGGAGCUGAAAAAGUAUUUGAACUUGUUGAGUCUGAGGGGCUUGCUGGUCUGCAGCUUACGUUGGGAAAGGACCCAAGGCCUCAGAAGGGAGGAAGGAAGACCCUGGAUCUUUCAUGCCUCCAGAAACCUACACACAGUCACUUCUUCAGACCCUAACGGUGUGCACAGGCUGCUAUGAAGACAAAGACUGAACUUCACCGGACUGUGGGUGAACAGCUACGUUAAGCCAAGUUUCUCCUAAAAAAUGGGAGGGGUUUUGGGGGGAAAACAAUUUUACUUUCUGAUUAAAUAUGAUCUUGUAAUUGCUUUCCUUGUUAUUACAAUUUUUAAAGCACAGUGAUUUAUUAAAAGAUUUAAAGUCCAUGAA